rnacentral:rRNA from 1 species
GAUGAACGCUGGCGGCGUGCCUAAUACAUGCAAGUCGAGCGAAUGGAUUAAGAGCUUGCUCUUAUGAAGUUAGCGGCGGACGGGUGAGUAACACGUGGGUAACCUGCCCAUAAGACUGGGAUAACUCCGGGAAGCCGGGGCUAAUACCGGAUAACAUUUUGAACCGCAUGGUUCGAAAUUGAAAGGAGGCUUCGGCUGUCACUUAUGGAUGGACUCGCGUCACAUUAGCUAGUUGGUGAGGUAACGGCUAACCAAGGCAACGAUGCGUAGCCGACCUGAGAGGGUGAUCGGCCAAACUGGGACUGAGCCACGGCCCAGACUCCUACGGGAGGCAGCAGUAGGGAAUCUUCCGCAAUGGACGAAAGUCUGACGGAGCAACGCCGCGUGAGUGAUGAAGGCUUUCAGGUCGUAAAACUCUGUUGUUAGAGAAGAACAAGUGCUAGUUGAAUAAGCUGGCACCUUGACGGUACCUAACCAGAAAGCCACGGCUAACUACGUGCCAGCAGCCGCCGUAA